GUGAUAACAAAGGUAAGUUCAGACGGAAAAGAUUAAAUAUUGGAACUCAACCCAGAAUUUGAUGGGAAUGUAUUGUAAGCCAAGAAGAUUGGCUCUCCGGGAAAAGUCUUCUGAAAAUUGCCCGUUGACUAGAUUAAUGAGCAUAGUUUAUUAGCUGCAAAAGGUGAAACUUAUAAGGUGGUCGGUGAAUUUGCAUCCUAGUAGAGACUUCUAAUUCUGGAAUGAGAUAAUCAUAUCUAGCUAGAACAGCAGCUUAGUAUUUGCUUGAUUCUGGAAUGAGAUAAUCAUAUCUAGCUAGAACAGCAGCUUAGUAUUUGCUUGAUUUUGCUUCUUCUUUUACUUCACUCUAGCUGUGUUGUAGUUGUCAUUUCUUUGUAACAUGAAUACUGCUACUAGUACUUUAUAACUCUAAACUGUUUAUGAUGCGUUGUUUAAGUAGUAUAUGUGAAUACCUUUCCAAUAGAAAUUCGUAGAGUGCGUGGGAAGAUUAUACCCUAUUUGUUGAAGUUCUUAUUUGUUCUACUUUAUUCAUAGAAAGAAUAGAAAGAUCCAGAUCAAGAUUGUAUGAAGAAGAACAAGUAAAUAAAAGGAGAAGCUAGAAGAGUGAUACAGUUGUGAGAAGGAAAGAGGUGUGUUGAUUGGUUGUGGUCGUUGCAUAGAGAAGAACGUCUGCUUGAGGCCGUGGACAAAAAGGCUUGGAAAUGAAUAUGAUGUUGAAGAAGCGCAAAGACUUCUGCUUCUUGGGCUGGCAUGCUCUCAUCCCAUUGCUCACGAGAGGCCUAACAGCCAGACCAUAGUCCAGGUUAUUUCCGGGUCUAUUCCGGCGCCUCAAGUCUCGCUUCCUGAACCGGCCAGGCCGGAGAAUCGGCAGCAUUGCCAAUCAGAACUGGUAACAGAACUUAUUAUAAGUUAAUAGCAAAUUGAAUCAGCUCCUGGUAAGACUUCUGCGUACAACAUAUAUGAGCUGCCAGGUUCUCCCCCGUACACUUAUAUGAAGACUGUCAUAUCACUCUCGUGCGCUAUACUCAAUCCCUCGUUAAUUAAUCUUCCGUGUCUUAAUCGAUCUGAGAUAAAUUAUUGGAUCUUAUUACUUAUUAGUAUCUAUUAAUAUGAUGAGUUCACUGGUGGGCAAGUUUACAAUAGUUCCACCUCCAGGAAGGGAGGAUCAUUACCUCCUCAUGAUGAUGUGUUUGUGUUUGUGUUUCUGCCUUAUGGUAGUGUUAUUGUUUUAGUUUUUACAAGUUUGCUUGCUGUUUGUCUUAGGCGUGUUGCCUAUGGUUGUUUUGGUCGCCUUUAUAGGCUGAGACUACUUAUUUCUUUUAUUUGUUACGUGUUCUAAUGAAUUUGAUUAUUAUUAUUAUUUUUUUAAAGUUUACAAUAGUUUAUUAGUGUUCACUGUUUAGCUACUUCGUAGCACUCAAAUUUAAUUAUUACGGCUAGUCUCCAAAGUAGAGCCACUUUUAUCCUUUGAGAUGUGUUUAGUGUGACUUCAC
rnacentral:lncRNA from 1 species